GAUCCUGGCUCAGGGUUAACGCUGGCGGCGCACAUAAGACAUGCAAGUCGAACGGACUUAAUCGAUUCUUUUAGAUUCGAAGCGGUUAGUGGCGGACUGGUGAGUAACACGUAAGGAACCUGCCUAUUAGAGGGGAAUAACAACGAGAAAUCGUUGCUAAUACCGCAUAAGCUAGUAGUACCGCAUGGUACAGCUAGAAAAGGAGAAAUCCACUAAUAGAUGGCCUUGCGUCCGAUUAGCUAGUUGGUGGGGUAACGG
rnacentral:rRNA from 1 species